rnacentral:lncRNA from 1 species
CUAAACUGGCAUCCUCUGCAAAGGCCCCAAGGCCUCGUAACUGUCUUUCUGCCUCCUAGAAUCUCACCCUGCGGUCCUGCGUCAUCAGGAGUUUCUCUAGUUUACUGCCUCUUUUGCUUCUUUAUAUGUUUGCUUCUUUACUCAAACCCAGGACCCUGAGUGCGCUAAGCAGCGGCCCCACCACUGAGCAACCUCCCCAACCCCAGAUCUUUGUUUACAGUUACAAGAACUCAAUUCUUAGAUUUAUCAGUUGUGAUAUUUUUUUAGCUUCAAAUGUUCACUUGGUUUUUUUUUUUUUUCAAUCUUUUGCUAAAAUUCCUUUUCAAGAACUUCUUUGUGAAAAUUUCUAAUAAUUGGGCAUAACAUUUCCAUUUUUCUUCUUUCCUUCUCAUGAGACAGUUUAGCAGUUUGACAAGGACGUCAGUGCCAGGAACAAAUCAGCAUGGACCAUACCUUUACCUAGGGUUUCUCAAGGCUGGGACACAACUCAGAGGCAUCUCCUGCCCUUUAAUCCCUUACUCCCUAGAGAGUCUCACUUACUCCUCCUCAGUCAUUUCAGCGCCAACCCAGAUUGUCUACAACUGGUCUGCAGAGGGAAGACAGAUCAAUACACCCACCACUCGCAUGGAGAACCCAGAGAAAUUAGGGCUACCACUGAGACUGCUGGAGAGGAUUAGUCUCCUGGAAGGUCUAGUGCAUGUGUAAGCAUUUGUGAGACCAAGCUCGUCGGGAAGGAGAGCUCUCAUCCCUGGGAACUGCAUGUGCAAUGCCUAGAGGCAAGAGAAUGGCGAAAUGAAGGAACUGAAGGAAGUUCCUGUUUGGCACAGAGCACAGAGAACUAAAACGGGGACACGGUUGGAGAAGAGAAUAGAAACCAAAUUGUGAACAAGCCACAUGAAGGAGCUUCAAGUUUCUCCUUGGGCCGUGGGAAGUCACUUGUUGUAAGAAGAGAGAUAGAAUCAAAUGUUCACUGGAAGUUCUCUGGCUUGCAUACAGAAAGUAGAUUGGGAAAGAGCCAGGGUGGAAAGACAGAGACAGAGACAGAGACAGAGACAGAGACAGAGUGUAUGUGUGUAUAUAUAUAUAUAUAUAUAUAUAUAUAUAUAUAUAUAUAUAUAUAUAUAUAUACUCAAAACAGAG